AGGAUUAACGCUGGCGGCGUGCCUAACACAUGCAAGUCGAACGAGGUAGCAAUACCUAGUGGCAGACGGGUGAGUAGCGCGUGGUCAACCUACCGUUGAGUGGGGGAUAACUAGCCGAAAGGUUAGCUAAUACCGCAUACGUCUCCGAGGGGCAUCCCUUGGCGAUAAAAGGAGCAAUCCGCUCGAUGACGGGACCGCGUCCCAUUAGCUAGUUGGUGGGGUAACGGCCUACCAAGGCAUCGAUGGGUAGCUGGUUUGAGAGAGCGACCAGCCACACUGGGACUGAGAUACGGCCCAGACUCCUACGGGAGGCAGCAGUGAGGAAUUUUCCGCAAUGGGCGAAAGCCUGACGGAGCGACGCCGCGUGUGGGAAGAAGGCCUUCGGGUCGUAAACCACUGUCGAAGGGAAGAUAAUGACGGUACCCUUGGAGGAAGCCCCGGCUAACUACGCGCCAGCAGCCGC
rnacentral:rRNA from 1 species